CCUGAGAAACCCAAAAGAUCGAAUGGGGAGAUUCAUCGUCAGCUCAUUUUGUAUAUGUACAAGUUAUGAUGCGGGUUACUACUUGUAGUAUUGCCUGCACAUUCUUAUAUAUUUAGUUGCAAGAUGUUGUCGGCGUGCACUUCUCCCCUAGUAGGACGUCGCGACCCGUUGGGUGUCGGUCUACGGCCCAAGUGAUAGCCUUUAAUGUAAUUUAAAAAACAUUGAAGAUCCUUGGUGUUUUCUGACCGGCUACUUGGCGGUACUCGUACGGUAUUUAGCCGCAUAAAUAUAUGCGUCCAUGCCCGUCGCAAGCGAGGCCUACUGAUAGUACGGACCUAGUGCCGUCGUUGGUAUUGGCCAGCUGUUGGUUGUACGGUGUUCUAGGACUGGCUAAAAUUAAUUACCGGUCGGCGAUGCUACUGCUUUGGGUACUUUCAGGACCCGUCUUGAAACACGGACCAAGGAGUCUAACAUGUGCGCAAGUCAUUGGGAUUUUUUUAAAAUUAAACCUAAAGGCGUAAUGAAA
rnacentral:rRNA from 1 species